GUCUCGCUGAAGCCACGAAGUCUGUGUGUAUCGUAUCUGGGAUGUAACAUUACUCAAAUGAGCAGAGGAUCUUGCUUGUUCUUUUGCUUAUCUGCUGAAAACACUUCACUGGAUAAAACACAUCAGGUAAGAUAACGUUACAUGUGUUGUGGAACAGAGCUAAGCUAGCUAGCAAGUUGAGCAUCAAGCUAGGUGACGUAAAUUGUGUGAGACAAGAGAUGUACCUAGUUCACUGAGUGGUUUCACACA